GGAUAAAGUAUUAUUUAUUAUAUAUCGUUAAGUUUCAAUUUAAAAAAAGUAGUUUUAGGUUUUAUUAUUAUUAAGAAAAAAUAAUUUUAAUUAUAGAGUAUUAGUAUUGAUUGAGAAUUAAGAUUAUCUAUAUAAAAGAAAAAUUUACUUUUUGUACCUUGUGUAUCAGGGUUUUUUAAAUAAAUUUAAUUUAGUUUAAAUUCUCGAAUCUAAAAGAGUUAUGAGCUUAUAAUUUUUAUUGUAAAAAAAAUAUUAUGAAUAAUCUUAUUGAAGUGAAACGCUAUACGAUUUUGGAUAUAUCUAGUUUCUUAAGAAAUAAAUUUAAUUUAUUUUAUUUUUAAUAUAAUAUUUAAUUUAUAAUUUUAUAUUAGGAUAAGAAAAUGUAUUAGGGGAUAAGCUUUAGUAUAUAUAUAGUAUAAUUAAUUAUAUAAAAUUUUUAUAGAUUAAUAUUAGUAAGAAUAAAAGUUUCUUUUUGUAUUAUAACAAUAUAUAAAUUUAUAUAUAAUUUUAGAUAAUUUACUUUUUUUAUUAAGAUAUUUUUUUUAAUAAAAAAAAAUAAUCAAUAAUGAUAAAAUUAGUAUAUGAAAUUAUUUUAUAAAAAUAAAAUGAUAGGUUAGGAAAAGGAACUCGGCAAUACAUUUUUUUACCUGUUUAGUAAAAACAUGGCUUUUUGAUUAUUAUAAAAGGUCUCACCUGCUCAAUGAAUAAGUUUUAAAUAGCCGCAGUAUACUGACUGUGCAAAGGUAGCAUAAUCAUUAGUUUCUUAAUUAGAAGCUUGUAUGAAAGGUUGGAUAAGAAGAAGACUGUCUCUUUUUAAAUUUUGUAGAAUUUUAUUUUUAAGUAAAAAAGCUUAAAUUUUUGUAAAAGACGAGAAGACCCUAUAGAGUUUUAUAAGGAUAAAGUUUAUAUUAAAAUUGUAUAAAUACUACUAUAAAUUUUAUUUUAUUUAAUUGGGGUGAUUGAAAAAUUUGAGUAACUUUUUUUAAACUAAUCAUUAAUAUAUGAAUAAUUGAGCCUUUAUUUUGGAUUAUAAGAAUAAAUUACCUUAGGGAUAACAGCGUAAUUUUCUUUAGAGUUCUUAUUGAAUAGAAAGAUUGCGACCUCGAUGUUGGAUUAAAAUUAAAAUUUGGUGUAGGAGCUGAAUAUUUAGGUCUGUUCGACCUUUAAAAUUUUACAUGAUCUGAGUUUAAACCGGCGUAAGCCAGGUUGGUUUCUAUCUUUAUAUAGUUAAAAUAUUUUAGUACGAAAGGACCAAAUAUUUAUUUUAUAAAUUGUUUUUGAAUAAGAUU
rnacentral:rRNA from 1 species